AUUGCGGGACGUUGAACCCACA
rnacentral:snRNA from 1 species